CCGAAGGCGGCUUCUCUUAAAGGGCCAGUCAAGAAACUGCCUACAGCCAAAACCACUUGCUUAUUAAAUCACUUCACACAUACUGGAACCAAUCCAAAUCAGAGCAAUCCUACCUGCACCAGAAAAAUAGAAACCCCUUGACAAGGACCAGAAAGAUGGACAAUCUUCCUCUCUGAACUUCCAGCACAAGGAAUGCAAGAUUAAACAUUCACAAACUACCUGCAGUAUAUACUUAUCAAUCUGCUUUAUGAAGAAAUAAUCUACAAGAGCCUAAUAUCAGGUUGACCAUAUGACCACUUACCUGGGUGCAACCUCACUGAAGGAGUACUUACCACUUAGUAAAUGUGCAUUGAGGCAGCCUACCUGUGGCCUUUUUAUUUCCUGCAUUGACACAAUAAUACCAUCACUCUGAUUUUUCAGUGCCCAUAUAAAUGUCAGAAUUUUUGUGAUUAAGAAAUACCACUCCUAAUCUUCUGCCAAAAAAGUUUAUAAAGAUACAUUUGUAUGACUGAUAAUGCUUGUCUUUGACAAGAACUGAUCCAUAGGAACAGAAGGAUGUAUCCCAUCUAUGUUUGAAUUAAACAGUCAACAUAUUUCAAAUUAAUGAUUUGUAUUACUUGUUACAUACUGCAUUACCUGUAUGUUCAAACUAAAACCAGUAAAACCUACAUCAUUGUUGUAGGUUUUUCAGGCUGUUUGGCCAUGUUCUGGAGGUUUUUCUUUUUAACGUCUCACCAGUCUCUGUGGCUGGCAUCUUCAGAGGAGAUGUUUCACCAAAACAUAUCAAAGAGGACAUGGAGUUAUAUGGAACUCAUUUAUUAAUGUUACAAGUAUGGAUGCUAAAUGUAAAACAUUUACUUCAUUUUAAAUAUAAUUACUGUAUAUCAGCAUAGUGAAGAAAACUGCAGGCAGGUAAACCAUAUACCUGUUCAAGCUACGGUCCAGGAACUUAAUGCUUAUGGGCAGUGCGGUCCUUUCAGCUCAUUGGGGGAAAGGUGGGAGAUAAAUGGAAACCUCCCUUAUGGUAUACAAGGGAGUUUGUGUUGUUUCAAGUAUUAUUGUCAUAAAGAUGAUCCUGUACAGAUGUUACUAGUUUCCCACCAUUGUUUACCAUAAUCCAGACUAACAUGAUGUGCCACAAAGGCAAAGCAAGCACUAGAAACAUAAGGAGAGGCAGAAACAAUAGCUUAAGUAGGCUAUACAUCAAGUUACAAAACAUGUAAAUUUUGUUAUGCCGGACAAUCUUGGAAUAAAAGUAUGAAUGGACACAGAUCUGGCAUCAGGAACAGCAACACAGAAACAGCCAGUUUCAGAAUUCUUCAGCCUCCCUGGACAGUCUAUUAUGGAUCUCAAAGAAAAAAGAAAUUACAAAGACAGGUUGGAGAGGAAGACAGUGGAAAUUAGCUACAUCGACAAAUUCUAGUAAAUUGUUAAGGGCCAAAGUGAAAAUUAAAGGCUCUUUGCACACUAUAUUUAUAACCCAGAUUUCUAUAAUAUGCCUAUAAAAGAGUUUUCUCCCUUGA